rnacentral:rRNA from 1 species
UGGGGAAUAUUGCACAAUGGGGGAAACCCUGAUGCAGCGACGCCGCGUGAAGGACGAAGUAUUUCGGUACGUAAACUUCUAUCAGCAGGGAAGAAAAUGACGGUACCUGACCAAGAAGCCCCGGCUAACUACGUGCCAGCAGCCGCGGUAAUACGUAGGGGGCAAGCGUUAUCCGGAUUUACUGGGUGUAAAGGGAGCGUAGACGGCCGUGCAAGUCUGAUGUGAAAACCCGGGGCUCAACCCCGGGAGUGCAUUGGAAACUGCAUGGCUGGAGUGUCGGAGAGGCAAGUGGAAUUCCUAGUG